CUCCAGCCCCUCUCCGUAUCAGCCUCUCAUUCCGUCUGAAUAUGUCUCAAGAUGGCGGCCAAUGCGGGAUCGAUGUUUCAAUAUUGGAAGCGCUUUGAUUUACAGCAACUGCAGAGAGAACUUGACACCACCGCCACAGUGCUAGCCAAUCGGCAGGAUGAGAGCGAGCAGUCCAGGAAGACGCUCAUCGAGCAGAGCCGGGAGUUCAAGAAGAACACUCCGGAGGAUCUGCGCAAGCAGGUGGCUCCUCUCCUCAAGGGCUUCCAAGCAGAGAUUGAUGCCUUGAGUAAAAGAAGUAAAGAAGCAGAGGCGGCCUUCCUCAAUGUGUACAAGAGGCUAAUCGAUGUCCCAGACCCCGCCCCGGUGCUGGACGUAGUGCAACAGCUCCAGUUGAAGCUUCAGAGGAUGCACGACAUCGAGACAGAGAACCAGAAGCUCCGUGAGACACUGGAGGAGUACAACAAGGAGUUUGCCGAGGUCAAAAACCAGGAGGUCACGAUAAAGGCUCUGAAGGAGAAGAUUCGGGAGUAUGAGCAAUCCCUGAAGAGCCAAGCGCAGAACCUGGUGCAGGAGAAGCAGCAGCAGCUGCACAGUGACUAUGCAGAGAAGGAGCGGAAGCUGCAGGAGAGCAAAGAUUCCCUGUCUUCCAAACUGGAUGAAGCUGACCACAAGGCCCAGUCUCUACAGACAGCUCUUGAAGCUACUCAGGCGGAGCUUUUCGAUCUGAAGACCAAGUAUGACGAGGAGUCGACGGCAAAAGCUGACGAGAUUGAGAUGGUGAUGACCGACCUGGAGAGAGCCAAUCAGAGGGCAGAUUCAGCCGAGAGGGAGGCGGAGUCUCUAAGGGAUCAGCUGACCUCAGCAAGCAAAUCCCAGUUGCUGGCCACUCCGAUCCAGAAGGACCCCGACAUGGAGCAGCCGGGGGAGGCGGUAUCGCGCUCCAGCCUGCAGGCGGAGCUGGGCUCUAAGGAGCGGGAGAUCGUGCAGCUGGUGGAGGACGUGCAGAGGCUGCAGGCCAGCCUGAGCAAGCUGCGCGAGAGCUCAGCCAAUCACAUCGCCCAGCUGGAGCAGCAGCUCUGCACCCGCGACUCCUCCCUCAAGCUCCUGGAGGAGAAGCUGCAGGAGCAGGCCGACUAUGAGGAGGUGAAGAAGGAGCUCACUAUUCUCAAGUCCAUGGAGUCGGUGCCAUCGGACGGCUCCACCGCACAGGACUCCUCUAAGCCGUUGGAGGUUUUGCUCCUGGAGAAGAACCGCAGCCUGCAGUCAGAGAACGCCUCUCUGCGCACCAACCACAGCCACCUGAGCGGCCGGUACGCGGAGCUGCAGCUGGAGUUCACGGAGGCGGUGAGGACCAGCGCGGAGCAGAAGGAGCUGAUCCUCACGCUGGAGCACGACCUGAGCACCAUCCAGACCCUGUCCUCCCUGCCCCGCCCUGACGCUGAGGGGGCAGACUUCCAUCACCUGGAGAGAAUCCCAGAGCCCAUCAAGGAGGCGACGGCUCUCUUCUCAGGUGUACCUGCGGGCCCUCAGCCCGAGCUGCCCCAGGGGCAGAUGGACUCUCUCCUGUCCAUCAUCUCCAGCCAGAGGGAGAGGUUCCGCUCCCGAAACCAGGAGCUGGAGGCUGAGAGCCGGUCGGUGCAGCAGACUCUGCAGGCCCUGCAGACGGAGCUGGACAGUCUGCGGGCUGACAACAUCAAGCUGUACGAGAAGAUCAAGUUCCUGCAGAGCUACGCAGGGAGGGCUGGAGGCAGCGAUGACACGGUGAUGCGCUACUCCUCCCAGUACGAGGAGAGACUGGACCCCUUCGCCUCCUUCAGCAAACGGGAGCGUCAGCGGCGGUAUCUGAGUCUCAGCCCCUGGGAUAAAGCCACCCUCAGCAUGGGCCGGGUGAUCCUGUCCAAUAAGAUGGCCCGAACCAUCGCCUUCUUCUACACCAUCUUCCUCCACCUCCUGGUCUUCCUGGUGCUCUAUAAGACUGUGCUGACCUGUGGUCUGUGUGUGCAGGUGCUUCUAUAAGACUGCGUGGAGCGAGAGCAUCGGUCGAGACUGCUCUGCCUUCUGUGCCAAGAAGUACUCAGACCACCUGCACCGUUUCCAUGAGAACGGAGAGAAUGGAGACCUGUGGCAGUGAUGCAGCGCAGGCUGAGAGCGUUCUGCUCUGAGUCACUGAGCUGCUCUGAGUCACUGAGUCACUGAGCUGCUCUGAGUCACUGAGCUGCUCUGAGUCACACUGAGCUGCUCUGAGUCACUGAGCUGCUCUGAGUCACUGAGCUGCUCUGAGUCACACUGAGCUGCUCUGAGUCCUGAGCUGCUCUGAGUCACAGAGCUGCUCUGAGUCACUGAGCUGCUCUGAGUCACUGAGCUUCAUAUGAAGUCACUCCAGCCAAUAUCACUUUCUGUCAGCUGAACCCGCAGAGACCAAAGGGGCGAUGGCUUAUAUUCAUAUUUAUAUUGCUUCAUGUAAAUUGAUUUAGUAUUAUGGGUAGUGAGGUUACGCUUAUGGUUCUGCUAGUCCGAGUGUUGGAUAGAGGAUAAAUAUACACACACAUUCACACACACACACACACACACACACACACACACACACACACACACAUAAACUUACACCCAUAAGCACACACAUAAUACAUACAGUACAUUUGAAUACAUAUAAAU